AAACAAGGGGUCUGCCGGAGCCAGAGACUGGCAAAUAGAUGGGAUAAUGGUUAGUGUUCCCAUGAGAAAGUUUUGGGAGUUUGUACUCCCUAAAUUCUGAACAGUCCGGAAUCUGUUAAAAGUGUUUCGCUCAGUAGAUUUUCUUGCGGUGUCAACGUUGCUUUCUUGGAGAGAGGUUUUCUCCGUCUCCAGCUCUUGUUUGUUUCCAAGCCAAGUUUUCCAGUUCCAGUCAGGCCAUGCUGUGCCGUGACUCUCGAGUAGACCUUGACUUUACUUUAGUUGCUUUUCUUUGUUCAAGGUUGUCAGCCUUGACAACCUUGCUGCCUUGAUUGCUACGAAGUAUUUCCUAUGGAUUGAACUCUGCUUCUGCCAACCUUGUUUCUCUGUUUCAACUCAUGGACACUUUGAUUUCUUUGGAGAGCUAUCGAGUUCUCAUUGUGGAUUAUAAUAUCGGACCUUUCCCUUUACCCAUUUGGAACCACCAUUGACUUUCUUUAAAGAAACUAUUACUUACUCAGACUCUAUACCUAACUUCCUUUGGAUUUAUAAUUGCUUUAAUAACGAUAUAGUGUGUUAUAUUGGCUCCUGACUGGUUUUCGAGUGCUCUUGCUGCCAACAAUAUCCCAAACUUUAUAACUGGAAAAGACGGGGGUUGUCUUGUACGCCAGAAAAUACGAUGCUCAAUCCUCAAGUAUUUCAUAUCCAAUAGGAUCAUAUCAUAAAGUGGAAUUGUAGCACUAGAAGUGUGCCAAAGGACCCCACUCCCUUCCCUUGGUUUUGAAGCACGUGUUUGACUUCCAAACAAUCCUCUGGUGAUAGGUUCAAAAGAAUGAAUGAAAAGGAUCUCCCUUUGCUUCGUCCAACUUGAAGGAAGCUCUUCCUCUCCUGCUCCAGUCUCUUCAUCCGCCAUGGCUUCUCCUUCAAGUCAUCUUGCCGCCACCGUAACCCCAAAGGCAGGAAAGCGCUGCAUCCCGAAUUGCCUCUCGCGGUUUCCAUGGCAACCGGAGGAAACUCUCCAUCACUCUCGAGGCUUUGAAAGCACACCUUCGUCACACCGAGAGAGGCCUUGGAUGGCUGUCAGAAAGAGAGGAGAGAUUAAUGGACUCGGGACAUGAAGUCCUCCAAGAAACAUCUCUGGUCUUGUCAAGAGCCUUGUUAUCCAGUCACCGAGGAGAUAAUGCACCGGAGAGUGAAAGAAAAGCCCUGUAAAAGUUCCCAUUGAUUUGUAAUAUCAUAAAAUUUGAUCAUAUAUAGUGAGCGUAGGAUAUGUUAGAAGUGAAGAGAAAAUUGCUGAGGAAACGCAUUAUGAAGAGCAAUCCAUCAAGGAUGAGACUCGGCAGAAGACCUUGCCCAAGGUGGAACGGAGGAGUCAAGGGGGACGGGCGGGAAAAGGGAGAAGUUUUGCGAAGAAAUGAGUUUGGGUGACAAAGGUUCUCUGUUUGGCCAGGAAAAAAAAGGAGAGACUCUUUCGAGGUCCUUGAGGUCACCAAAUAAGGUGAGCAUUUUGACUUGGCUUCAGUUUUUUCUAUGCUGCCACCCGUGUCUAACCUUUUCUCCAAAGACGAGUUUCUUGUACCUUUUUUUUUGGGCCAUAUUAAGUUUGUCGUCGUCGUCUCACUCGUUCAGUCGUUUUCGACUCUUCGUGACCUUAAGUUCAUGGUGGCAAUAAACAGAAUUCCACGAGUGUAA